GGUUAAAUCACACUGAAACACCGGUUCUCGUUCGAUCACCGAAGUUAAGCAUCGUUGAGCCAGGUCAGUACUUAGAUGGGGGACCGCUUGGGAACACCUGGUACUAUA
rnacentral:rRNA from 1 species